rnacentral:tRNA from 1 species
GCUCCUGUGGCGCAAUUGGUUAGUGUUUUGUAUUUAUACAGCAGUAUGCAGCGAUGCAGUGCUGAGGUUGUGAGUUCAAACCUCACCAGGACUA